rnacentral:SRP_RNA from 1 species
GCCCUUGCCAGGUAGUCCCAGCUACUAGGGAGGCUGAGGUGGGAGGAUCGCUUGAGCCCAGGAGUUCUGGGCUGUAGUGCGCUAUGCAGAUCGGGUGUCUGCACUAAGUUUGGCAUCAGUAUGGUGACCUCCUGGGAGCAGGGGACCACCAGGCUACCUAAGGAGGGGUGAACCGGCCCAGGUCGGAAACGGAGCAGAUCAAAACUCCCGUGCUGAUCAGUAGUGGGAUCGCGCCUGUGAAUAGCCACUGCACUCCAGCCUGGGCAACAUAGCCAGAGACCCUGUCUCU